UGUAGCCCCUCUUAUGGUGCUACAUAAGUGUAGAAAGAAGUUAAAAGAGAUUAGUCUCUAUUAAUUUUGUAUUGUAGUGGUUAUACCCAUAUUUAUGUAGCUACAGAACAUACAGAGUGAGAGAGGAGAGAGUGAGAUGACUUGCAUGACCUUUUGUACAUACUGAGAGAGAGUGAGCGAAAGAGAGAACCAAUGGUCAGUUCUUGGUAGCUUGAGUAAGGGUCAGCUGGUCCUUAUUCCCAGAAAAUAAUGACGUGAAUGUCAUGAAUGACGUAGAAGUAUUUUGGGGAAAAGUUGAUGGACUCUUCCAUCUCUGCUACCCUAAAGGGGUCAGCAAUUAUUAGUUACUGGUUUUUGUUUGUUAAAAGAGAUGACCAAGGAUCAACAAGUAUUUCUAGUUACACAUUUACACACCCCUUCCCAAAAAUAAUGGUAUUGUCGAAAAUACCUUUAUAUAGAACUACUGGAGGCAUCCUCUUCACAACUUUUGAGAUGGAGAGAGAGCAUCUUCCUCCAGACACCACUUUUCAAUAAUUUCCGUAUUUUCCUGAUUCUCAGGUCACUGGUCGUCUGACCAUGAACAGCUUCUACAUUUUACUAUAUCUGCACUGAGACCCUCAAUGUCAUUAUGUUAGUCUUAAUCUAUCAGUAGUUGUUUGACAACUGUUCUAAAGUUAUGUCCGGUAAAUUAAGUUAUGAAGUAUAAUUUGAACUAUAUGUUCAUACUUGUUCAAGUAAUUAUGUAACUAGGAGUUACAACAUUUUUAUAACUGUAAAUAUCAUGUAUAUAAUGUUAAUCUAGUUUAGAAUUAAAGGAACAUAUAUCCUUUAUAUAAUGAGUAUGUUAGUUUAUUUUAUUGAGUAUUAUGAUUUACAUUAAUUAAUAACAUAGUGUGAAUGUUGUUGAUUGAUGGUGUUUGAUUAUGUGAUGUGUGAUUAUUACAUAUUAAUAAUAAUUACAACCUAAUAGUGUUUUAUUUAAGUUCUACCUCUGUAGACGGACAGGGUGGGGAUUCUUCGUUUAAAAACCCUUCCGCUGCACUGUUCUGUUA
rnacentral:lncRNA from 1 species